GGAGAGGUGGCAGAGUUGGUUGAUCGCGCUCGCCUCGAAAGCGAGUAACGGGUGAAACCGUUCGUGGGUUCAAAUCCCACCCUCUCCG
rnacentral:tRNA from 1 species